AGCAGCCGCGGUAAUUCCAGCUCCAAUAGCGUAUAUUAAAGUUGUUGCAGUUAAAAAGCUCGUAGUUGAACUUCGGGGUUCACCCAUUGGUCAGGCUUAAUUGUCUGCACUGGUGAGAUGAGUCUCUACCUUCUGAGGAACUUUCAUGUCAUUAAUUUGGUGUGAUUGGAAAUCAGGACUGUUACUUUGAAAAAUUAGAGUGUUUAAAGCAGGCUAACGUCUGAAUACAUUAGCAUGGAAUAAUGAAAUAGGACGGACUGAUUCUAUUUCGUUGGUUUCUAGGAUCACCGUAAUGAUUAAUAGGGAUAGUUGGGGGCAUUAGUAUUCAAUUGUCAGAGGUGAAAUUCUUGGAUUUAUUGAAGACUAACUACUGCGAAAGCAUUUGCCAAGGAUGUUUUCAUUAAUCAAGAACGAAAGUUAGGGGAUCGAAGACGAUCAGAUACCGUCGUAGUCUUAACCAUAAACUAUGCCGACUAGGGAUCGGACGAAGUUAAUUUUAUAAUGACGCGUUCGG
rnacentral:rRNA from 1 species